GAAGUGGCGCGCACAGAGGAAAGGAAUGGAGACUUCACGACGGCUAAUUUGAAGUUUACCACGAUAUUGCACCCACUAUUCAAGCUAAUGCAAGAUAAAAAAUGAAUUCAGAAGAAUCACCACAAUUUCCUUGGAGCGUACAUUCUUGUAAAAACUGGACUUCUAUACCCCAAAACUCCUGACUUUGUUUGAGAUGAGGGGUGGGGUUGCUGGCAUAAGAAUUAAACAUUUGCUGGAUUCACUCAGCCGGCAAGAAGAAAGCCUUGAAGAUAGGUGAGACGUUGUGAUUCACUGCCUCCUAUCUUUCCUGGGAGAAUCAGCUGAGGACCUCACUGAAGACCACCAGGAUAUCAGCAGAGACAUGAUUAAGGAUACCUUCUCCAGUCAUGUCAUGAAACUGAGCAGAUCUGUGGAAGAAGAUGCCAGUAUGUCUGAUGUCAUCAUUGUAAUUGAGGGAACUGAGGUGCUGCUGGGAUGUAAGAAUCUCACAAAUGCAUGUCUUUCACUCACAGGCUGCAUUAACUCCCUAAACUUAAGCU